rnacentral:rRNA from 1 species
GAACUUAGCAGAGAUGCUUUGGUGCCUUCGGGAACUCUGAGACAGGUGCUGCAUGGCUGUCGUCAGCUCGUGUUGUGAAAUGUUGGGUUAAGUCCCGNAACGAGCGCAACCCUUAUCCUUUGUUGCCAGCGGCUCGGCCGGGAACUCAAAGGAGACUGCCGGUGAUAAACCGGAGGAAGGUGGGGAUGACGUCAAGUCAUCAUGGCCCUUACGGCCAGGGCUACACACGUGCUACAAUGGCGCAUACAAAGAGAAGCGACCUCGCGAGAGCAAGCGGAACCUCAUAAAGUGCGUCGUAGUCCGGAUUGGAGUCUGCAACUCGACUCCAUGAAGUCGGAAUCGCUAGUAAUCGUAGAUCAGAAUGCUACGGUGAAUACGUUCCCGGGCCUUGUACACACCGCCCGUCACACCAUGGGAGUGGGUUGCAAAAGAAGUAGGUAGCUUAACCUUCGGGAGGGCGCUUACCACUUUGUGAUUCAUGACUGGGGUGAAGUCGUAACAAGGUAGGCGUACGUGU